rnacentral:rRNA from 1 species
UGCCAGCCGCCGCGGUAAUACGGAGGGUGCGAGCGUUAAUCGGAAUCACUGGGCGUAAAGCGUGCGUAGGCGGCGCAGCAAGUCAGACGUGAAAGGCUACGGCUCAACCGUAGUAAGCUUUUGAAACUGCAAGACUAGAGUGCAGGAGAGGCAAGUGGAAUUCCUAGUGUAGAGGUGAAAUUCGUAGAUAUUAGGAGGAACACCAGUGGCGAAGGCGACUUGCUGGACUGUAACUGACGCUGAGGCUCGAAAGCGUGGGGAGCGAACAGGAUUAGAUA